AACGUAGGGGGCCAGCGUUGCUCGGAAUUACUGGGCGUAAAGGGUCUGUAGGCGGUGCGGCAAGUCGGAAGUGAAAUCGCAGGGCUUAACUCUGCGGCUGCUUCCGAAACUGCCGUGCUCGAGUGUGAGAUAGGCGAGUGGAAUUGCAGGUGUAGCGGUGAAAUGCGUAGAUAUCUGCAGGAGCAUCCGAGGCGAAAGCGGCUCGCUGGAUCACAACUGACGCUGAGAGACGAAAGCUAGGGGAGCAAACAGG
rnacentral:rRNA from 1 species